GAAGAGGUGCAGCAAAUGGCAGAAUCUAUGUAGCAAAUAUCAAGAAGCCAAACAGCCACCCGGGUCCCGGAUAAUACCCAGAGGAAGAAAAAUAGCAAAUAGUCUACAAGGACAGUAUUUAAAAAAAAUAAUAAUAAAAACAUAUAAUUGAAACUGCAUGACAUGAACUUAAAGAUGCCAUCUAAAACCAGAAAACUACCACAAAAGGACAGAAGAAAACUCCCAUAAACAGACAUGAGAAAAAUCAAUAUGAACUCUGGCUAUUAAAGCUAUUCAUUUACUAACUUCAUCAAUGAAAACAUUUUGUUUUAUAUUCUCUCAAAGACGCUAAACAAAAACUGUAUUCAUAAAGAAAAGUGGCUAAAGAAUGAAGUUUGAAACAACUAUCAUUUUACAUUAUAAGAUGCCCUGUGCCCCCCCAUGAAAGGAAGAUAAUUUUCUUGAAUCUUAGCACGCCAAUAUCAAUUGAAGACGUGGAAUUUCAGUCAUGUGGCUAUCUAAAACUUUUCAAUUUAUCCAUAAUAUUAUACAACAGGUAUGCACAGUGUCCACUUUGAAACAAACUUUUUAUAUCAAACGCAUAUAACAGAAGCUACCCAACUACUCAUAUCUAUAUUCAUAAUAUUCCCACUUUGAAUUGCACACAAACUAGUAAAACUCCUUUAACAGUACCACAUAACCGUGAAAAAGUUGCCAAGGUUGUUUGCUAACAUAUUGUUUAUCCAAAAGCCCAGAAAGCUAUUCAAAUGAUUCAGAAAUGAGAGUACAUCAUGGUUGAGAGAUACUAAUAUCCACCAAGAGAAAAAUUUUCUUCCACAAGUACUAUAGGUAUAAAGAGAUUAUACUCACAGCAAAACUCCUUCCUAAUGGGGUAUCCAGAAAAUCAUUAAGCUGCCUCCUGUACAGCAAGAAUAACAACAAUGAUGGUAAGAUAAGCAACACCAAUAAACCGAAUUCAAGCAAACGGUAUUAACUCUGUUUUUGCUGUCAUUUGGAGGAGGAGAUAGUUUCCAAUAAAUUGGUAACACCUAGAGGCUGAGAAACAAACAAUAAUAAUCCACCAGGAAUGAGUUUGACACGGAUAUUGGAUGAAAAUGAACUUCCUUUCCCAACAAAUUUGGACAAUUUAGGGAAUUAAUGUUGAAACCAGAAGCAUAUAACAGAAAGGACAAACCCUAGGCCAAUUUCUAACAAAAUCUAUGGAAAAUGUGCGCCACCGAACA
rnacentral:misc_RNA from 1 species